rnacentral:lncRNA from 1 species
UUUUGUUCCUAAAUGGAUGAGACAUACCUACAAGAUCAGAUUCAGCAUAGAGAUGUUACAGGAAAUUCUUGUGCCUCUCAGCUAUCUUUCAGAGCAGAUCCAGUAAUUCACUGCACUGGUAACAUAUUUCUCUCUGCUUUAGGAUCCUUGAGUGGGGAAACAUAAUAAAGGGAUGACUAAAGGAGGAUGGAUGUUCAGGAGUCUGCACAGAUGUACCACACCUGACUGGACCUGUCUCCCACAUGGAUUUUUUGAGUGAUGAGAGGACCAAGAGUCAUUUCUUCAGAUGAAUUUUUGUAAUCAAAUUUUUCCUAAAUAAAUGAUAU